GUCUAUGGCCAUGCUACCCUGAACACGCCCAAUCUCAUCUGAUCUCAGAAGCUAAGCAGGGUCAGCCUGGUUAGCACUUGGAUGGGAGACCACCUAGGAAGACCAGGUGCUAUAUAUA
rnacentral:rRNA from 1 species